UGGCAUGGGUUGGCUUCUAUAAUGUGUUUUCAUCUGCUAGAUGGUGUAUCAUGAUAUACAAACAACACUUGCUUCUGUAUGGUAGUCAAUGCACAAUGUAUAUUGUUUUCAUGGUAGCAUGACACCUUUCUCAAAUUUUGAUAUGUUGUGCACAUUAAAGCACCUUCAUCUUUAAUUUUUUCAAUAGACUGGCAUGGUUUAAUUUUGAUCUAUAGUUUUUGUGUUCUUUAAUAAUAUUUAGUGGCAAUUUGUCUGCUCUUCCAAGCAAAAGGAAGCUGCCCCAAGACCAAGUAACAUAACAUCAACUAUGAAAAGGAUCAUACCACAUCAGAUGGUCAGCUGAUCACAUUACCUAGGCCUGGAAAUCAGGCUGGUUAGUCAUCAGGUAUAUUGGACCAAUCUUCACACUCUUCAACACCCAGACCAAGAAUACAAUCAGCUUCAAUUUAAAUUGGAAAGUUAAGGUGACAUAAGAUUGGAAAGUCUAAGGUGACACAUUGCUCUAGUUUCACAAGAUAUAGUGUCUAAAGUUCCCAUAUUUCUACUUUCUGUUAUCUUUUUGAAGCAUGUAUCAGUGCAUUUUGCUUGGAUAAUAACUCCAAUAUGAACAAUUAAAAUAGAUGUCAAUUUAGUAAAUGAGCAUGAAUGACCUGGGCUCGGCUGCAUGUAUAACUUGUGACCUCAACCAUUUAACCUGUGAUAAGUUGCUUCUUGAAGAAGGGUUCGAUCCUGUAGGCUGUCCUAUUUUGCUAUCUCAUCUCAUUUGAUGAAAAUUUUCUGUGGGUAGUCCUCACAGAAAAUGAAGGAGGGACUGCAGAAAGAUUUGGGUAGGGAGCCUACUGAUGGUGAACUAGCAGUUGCAAUUGUACGAGGACGAGAUUCGCAAGCUAAGUGAACAACACUUCAUGCCAGUGUGGAAUUUUUGUGACUUCUUCAUUUUGAAGGUCCAUCCUCCUCAUAACUAACAUGUUAGUACCUUUGAAUUUGCUAUUUUGCAAGUACAUGUUUUAAGGGGUUUUAGAGAACUUUUAGCCUUGAAAAUUCCAGCUCGAAGCUCCAUUGCUAGCUUUAAGCGUGUUUUGCAUGUCAUUUGGUUUUGAAUUGAGUUGCAGAUU